rnacentral:misc_RNA from 1 species
GAAGUGCGAUAAGCAAUGCGAAUUGCAGAAUUCCGCGAAUCAUCAGAUCUUUGAACGCAAAUGGCGCCGGAGGGAUCUCCUUUCGGCAUGUCUGUUUCAGUGUCUGAGAGGUUUCACACAAAUCUUAAUGUGAUUGACGAAGGUAGAUGAAGGUUCUUCCUUACAUCUUCCCGAGUCUCUCAUGAAAGAUGCGCAAGUGGAUCUUUCGGUCCAAUGAAGUGGUCACAUCACUCGCAUGUGAUUUCAUUGCAGUAAUAACCAAACCGCAUUAUCCGAAUACUUGUGGUUUCAUAUACCUACAUAAAACUUCCAUUCCCUGCAUCUGAGACAGGUAAGAUCACCCGCUGAACUUAA